CCUACGGGUGGCAGCAGUGAGGAAUAUUGGUCAAUGGGCGCGAGCCUGAACCAGCCAAGUAGCGUGAAGGAUGACUGCCCUACGGGUUGUAAACUUCUUUUAUAAAGGAGUAAAGUGAGGCACGUGUGCCUUUUUGUAAGUACUUUAUGAAUAAGCAUCGGCUAACUCCGUGCCAGCAGCCGCGGUAAUACGGAGGAUCCGAGCGUUAUCCGGAUUUAUUGGGUUUAAAGGGUGCGUAGACGGGUUGUUAAGUCAGUUGUGAAAGUUUGCGGCUCAACCGUAAAAUUGCGGUUGAUACUGGCAGUCUUGAGUGAAGUUGAGGUAGGCGGAAUGCGUGGUGUAGCGGUGAAAUGCUUAGAUAUCACGCAGAACUCCGAUUGCGAAGGCAGCUUACUAAACUGCGACUGACACUGAUGCACGAAAGUGUGGGUAUCGAACAGGAUUAGAUACCCUUGUAGUC
rnacentral:rRNA from 1 species